UUCUCUAUUCUUCUGGUGGAUCCAAGAACCUUGUAAAUUAUCCUUAGAAGAAGGGGGUGCAUUUUUGGAAAACCACAGAUGCCCCUAGGCUCAGCCUUAUCUCUAUUCCACAAACAAAAGAAGUGAACUGAAUUCUUUCCUAACAUAGAGUGCUUCAUCUAGAUCCCAGAAAGAAAAGUCUUUAAGAUUCUCAAAUCCUUGAAAAGCAUCUGGGGGAAAUGUGAAUGACAAGGAGAAAAAGCAUCCCUUUAAAAGCUGGGCAGCCACUUUUCUGCCAAGGGCUUGUCAAAGUUGCUCAAGAGAAAGAAAAAAGAGGAACAAGUGCACAUAUACAGUUUUAAAGUAGCUAGCAACCAAGACAACGCCAAUUAUUUAACCACAGUAAAGAGACCAGCAGCCAAACCACACUGAUUAUUUAACCGCGUAUCCAAGUGCUGAACACAGCCAUAGCCAGCCACGUUAAUUUAAUGUAAAUAUCCCGAGUAACCAGCUCCCAAGGAGCUCAGAGAGUAACUCUUUGAAACCGAAGGAUAUUAAGUGCUGGAUGGAGAAGAGACCAGAGUCCAGGAGGAGCCUAGGAGGAGAAUUGGGUCUUCCCAAAAGAAUUAUGGGAGCAGACAGAUUUAGAGCACAAUCAGAAGUUUCCUGCUUCUAAGAUGUAACUCCUCAGUGGUGAGUGAUGCCUAAGUAAAGAAGAUGGGAAAGGACAUUUAAAGGAAGUGUGGCCAGAAUCAAAUCAAUGUCCCUUCCAAUCCAUACCCCCUGGUUCCAUCAGAGAAGGGGCAACACUCUUCCAAGUGGAU